rnacentral:rRNA from 1 species
AUUGAACGCUGGCGGCAGGCUUAACACAUGCAAGUCGAACGGUAACAUAAAGAAGCUUGCUUCUUUGAUGACGAGUGGCGGACGGGUGAGUAAUGCUUGGGAAUCUAGCUUAUGGAGGGGGAUAACUACGGGAAACUGUAGCUAAUACCGCGUAGAAUCGGGAGAUGAAAGUGUGGGACCUUCGGGCCACAUGCCAUAGGAUGAGCCCAAGUGGGAUUAGGUAGUUGGUGAGGUAAAGGCUCACCAAGCCGACGAUCUCUAGCUGGUCUGAGAGGAUGACCAGCCACACUGGGACUGAGACACGGCCCAGACUCCUACGGGAGGCGGCAGUGGGGAAUAUUGCGCAAUGGGGGCAACCCUGACGCAGCCAUGCCGCGUGAAUGAAGAAGGCCUUCGGGUUGUAAAGUUCUUUCGGUAGCGAGGAAGGCAUUUAGUUUAAUAAACUGGAUGAUUGACGUUAACUACAGAAGAAGCACCGGCUAACUCCGUGCCAGCAGCCGCGGUAAUACGGAGGGUGCGAGCGUUAAUCGGAAUAACUGGGCGUAAAGGGCACGCAGGCGGUGACUUAAGUGAGGUGUGAAAGCCCCGGGCUUAACCUGGGAAUUGCAUUUCAUACUGGGUCGCUAGAGUACUUUAGGGAGGGGUAGAAUUCCACGUGUAGCGGUGAAAUGCGUAGAGAUGUGGAGGAAUACCGAAGGCGAAGGCAGCCCCUUGGGAAUGUACUGACGCUCAUGUGCGAAAGCGUGGGGAGCAAACAGG